rnacentral:rRNA from 1 species
UAAUACAUCGGAACGUGUCUUCUAGUGGGGGAUAACUGCCCGAAAGGGCAGCUAAUACCGCAUGAGACCUGAGGGUGAAAGCGGGGGAUCGCAAGACCUCGCGCUGGAAGAGCGGCAGAUGUCCGAUUAGCUAGUUGGUGAGGUACAGGCUCACCAAGGCGACGAUCGGUAGCUGGUCUGAGAGGACGACCAGCCACACUGGGACUGAGACACGGCCCAG